rnacentral:rRNA from 1 species
AUGCUCGCUGCUGCCGACGCCGUCUCCGCCGCUCCCCCGCCUCGAGCCAGCUGCCGCCAUGGAGCCUCCGCUCCCCCGCCUCGAGCCACCCCGCACCUCGUCCGUCUCCUCUCCUCCCUCUCACUCGUCUCCUCUCCCGCACCGCCAGCCCCUUCUCUCUCCUCGCCCCAGACAUCUCUCUCCUCCCCCACGCAAGCCAGCUCCGGACCUGGAGGAAGAGGAGAGAUGCGGGACCUGGAGGAUGAAGAGGAGAUCCAGGCGUCCCGGCGGUGGCUCGACCGAUGCAUCACUUAUUUUAGAGCGCUAUCCAUGGAUUUGUUGUCUUGUUUGCUUCUGUUCUUGUGUGCUCUAAAAAAGACAACCUGA